GUAUAGCAAUAGCUACUUGCAUCAUUGUAGAUAUGAUGCAAGAUCGACUAUGUUGAAUAAAAUUCUAGGUAGAAUUAUGAUAAUGACAUUGUCUGCCUAUGUGUCUUGACCAAAUUACGUGCCAGCAGUCGCGGUAAUACGUAGAAGACUAGUGUUAUUCAUGUUUAAUCGGUUUAAAGGGUACCUAGACGGUAGAUCAAGCUUUCUAAUAAAGGAAAAGGACUAAUUUACUAGAGUUACUUAUGAGGGGGUAUUAAAGUACUGCUGGUGUAGAGAUGAAAUUCUGUCAUACCUCUUUUCAAAAGAAAAACCAUGGCACAGGUAUAGGCGAAGGCAUCCCCUUAUGUGAUAACUGACGUUGAGGGACGAAGGCUUUGUGUAGCGAACAGGAUUAGAUACCCCAAUAGUCGAAGCAGAAAAUGAUGAAUGUCAUAGAUUAGAUAUAUAAGUUUAUUCUAUAAAUGAAAGUGUAAGCAUUCCACCUCAUGAGUAAUUUGGCAACAUUGGAACUGAAAUCAUUAGACCGUUUCUGAAACCAGUAGUGAAGUAUGUUGUUUAAUUUGAUGAUCCGCAAAAAACCUUACCACAAUUUGAAUAUUUAUAUUAUUUAUUGUUUUAUUAUUAAUGAGAAAAUUAAUAAAGAGGCAAUAAGAUAUAUUUACAAGCGUUGCACGGCUGUCUUCAGUUAAUGUCGCGAGACUUUGGUUAGUUCCAUUAAAUUAACGUAAACCCUUACUUUAUUUUUAUAUAGAGUAGUUCCCCGCUAUA
rnacentral:rRNA from 1 species